rnacentral:rRNA from 1 species
AGAGUUUGAUCAUGGCUCAGAACGUACGCUGGCGGCACGCCUAAUACAUGCAAGUCGAACGAAGUAGCAAUACUUAGUGGCAGACGGGUGAGUAACAUGUAGGUAUCUUCCCAUUGGUGAGGAAUAACACGAGGAAACUUGUGCUAAUACCUCAUAAGUCUUUACGGAGAAAGCUUUAUGCGCCGAUGGAUGAGCCUGCACUUGAUUAGUUUGUUGGUAGGGUAAUGGCCUACCAAGACAAUGAUCAAUAGCUGAUUUGAGAGGAUGAUCAGCCACAUUGGGACUGAGACACGGCCCAAACUCCUACGGGAGGCAGCAGUAGGGAAUCUUGCACAAUGGGGGAAACCCUGAUGCAGCGAUGCCGCGUGAGUGAAGAAGGCCUUUGGGUUGUAAAGCUCUUUCGUCGGGGAAGAAAAUGACUGUACCCGAAUAAGAAGGUCCGGCUAACUUCGUGCCAGCAGCCGCGGUAAUACGAAGGGACCUAGCGUAGUUCGGAAUUACUGGGCUUAAAGAGUUCGUAGGUGGUUAAAAAAGUUGGUGGUGAAAUCCCAGAGCUUAACUCUGGAACUGCCAUCAAAACUUUUUAGCUAGAGUAUGAUAGAGGAAAGCAGAAUUUCUAGUGUAGAGGUGAAAUUCGUAGAUAUUAGAAAGAAUACCAAUUGCGAAGGCAGCUUUCUGGAUCAUUACUGACACUGAGGAACGAAAGCAUGGGUAGCGAAGAGGAUUAGAUACCCUCGUAGUCCAUGCCGUAAACGAUGUGUGUUAGACGUUGGAAAUUUAUUUUCUGUGUCGCAGCGAAAGCAAUAAACACACCGCCUGGGGAGUACGACCGCAAGGUUAAAACUCAAAUGAAUUGACGGGGACCCGCACAAGUAGUGGAGCAUGUGGUUUAAUUCGAAGAUACGCGCAGAACCUUACCAACACUUGACAUGUUCGUCGCGACUUUAAGAGAUUAAAGUUUUCGGUUCGGCCGGACGAAACACAGGUGCUGCAUGGCUGUCGUCAGCUCGUGUCGUGAGAUGUUGGGUUAAGUCCCGCAACGAGCGCAACCCUCACUUUUAGUUGCCAUCAUUUAGUUGGGCACUCUGAAAGAACUGCCAGUGAUAAGCUGGAGGAAGGUGGGGAUGACGUCAAGUCCUCAUGGCCCUUACGUGUUGGGCUACACACGUGCUACAAUGGCAUUUACAAUAGGAAGCAAGACGGCGACGUUAAGCAAAUCCUAAAAAAAUGCCUCAGUUCGGAUUGUACUCUGCAACUCGAGUACAUGAAGCUGGAAUUACUAGUAAUCGCGGAUCAGCGCGCCGCGGUGAAUACGUUCCCGGGUCUUGUACACACCGCCCGUCACACCAUGGGAGUUGGUUCUACCUUAAGGCAAAGUUUAAUACCUUUGACCACGGUAUAGUCAGCGACUGGGGUGAAGUCGUAACAAGGUAACCGUA